CCUACGGGGGGCAGCAGUAGGGAAUUUUCGGCAAUGGGGGGAACCCUGACCGAGCAACGCCGCGUGAACGAAGACGUUAUUCGUAAUGUAAAGUUCUUUUAACAGGGAAGAAAGAGAAAUUUGACGGUACCUGAAGAAUAAGUACCGGCUAACUACGUGCCAGCAGCCGCGGUAAUACGUAGGGAGCGAGUGUUAUCCGGAAUUAUUGGGCGUAAAGGGUGCGUAGAUGGCAUAGUAAGUCUUUUGUAAAGAUGCUGGGCUAAACCCAGUAGGGCAAAAGAUACUGCAAAGCUAGAGUAUGCAAGGGGCAAGUGGAACUAAAUGUGUAGCGGUAAAAUGCGUAAAUAUAUGUAAGAACACCAGUGGCGAAGGCGAGUUGCUGGGUCGAUACUGACAUUGAGGCACGAAAGCGUGGGGAGCAAACAGGAUUAGAUACCCGAGUAGUC
rnacentral:rRNA from 1 species